rnacentral:rRNA from 1 species
GACGAACGCUGGCGGCGUGCUUAACACAUGCAAGUCGAACGGAAAGGCCCUGCUUUUGUGGGGUGCUCGAGUGGCGAACGGGUGAGUAACACGUGAGUAACCUGCCCUUGACUUUGGGAUAACUUCAGGAAACUGGGGCUAAUACCGGAUAGGAGCUCCUGCUGCAUGGUGGGGGUUGGAAAGUUUCGGCGGUUGGGGAUGGACUCGCGGCUUAUCAGCUUGUUUGUGGGGUAGUGGCGUACCAAGGCUUUGACGGGUAGCCGGCCUGGGAGGGUGACCGGCCACCUUGGGACUGAGAUACGGCCCAGACUCCUACGGGAGGCAGCAGUGGGGAAUAUUGCACAAUGGGCGGAAGCCUGAUGCAGCAACGCCGCGUGCGGGAUGACGGCCUUCGGGUUGUAAACCGCUUUCGCCUGUGACGAAGCGUGAGUGACGGUAAUGGGUAAAGAAGCACCGGCUAACUACGUG